GCACUAGUGCAGGAGAUCCAGCUCCAGUUUCUUGGUAGCCUCCUAUCCAAAAAAAAAAAAAGCUAUUCCUUGGUAGUGUUGGGAUUCUCUAGUGUCCCCAUAGCCUUGGAGGUGACCAUAGAAGGAGCUGGAUCGAUAGACUUCGGGUUCAUUAGGACAGGAGUGGUCCUAGGGUGGAGAUGGUAUAUAGUUUCUACAAACUUAAAGUUCUAACAACGAGGAUUUUGAGAGAUUUGGUUGGAGCUCCAGAGAUAUGGAACAUGAGGUGGAGCAAGAAACCAAAGAAGGGAUGAAGACUGCGGAGGAGCAGCUUCAGCAGAGGAGUCAACUCGGUUCUGAGAUGAGUCGACUCGAUUCCAA
rnacentral:lncRNA from 1 species